AACAGGAUUAGAUACCCUGGUAGUCCACGCCGUAAACGAUGUCUACUAGCUGUUCGUGGUCUUGUACUGUGAGUAGCGCAGCUAACACACUAAGUAGACCGCCUGGGGAGUACGGUCGCAAGAUUAAAACUCAAAUGAAUUGACGGGGGCCCGCACAAGCGGUGGAGCAUGUGGUUUAAUUCGACGCAACGCGAAGAACCUUACCUACUCUUGACAUCUAGCGAAGACUGCAGAGAUGCGGUUGUGCCUUCGGGAACGCUAAGACAGGUGCUGCAUGGCUGUCGUCAGCUCGUGUUGUGAAAUGUUGGGUUAAGUCCCGCAACGAGCGCAACCCUUAUCCUUAGUUGCCAGCACGUAAUGGUGGGAACUCUAGGGAGACUGCCGGUGAUAAACCGGAGGAAGGUGGGGACGACGUCAAGUCAUCAUGGCCCUUACGAGUAGGGCUACACACGUGCUACAAUGGUAUGUACAGAGGGAGGCAAGCUGGCGACAGUGUGCGGAUCUCUUAAAGCAUAUCGUAGUCCGGAUCGCAGUCUGCAACUCGACUGCGUGAAGUCGGAAUCGCUAGUAAUCGCAAAUCAGAAUGUUGCGGUGAAUACGUUCCCGGGCCUUGUACACACCGCCCGUCACACCAUGGGAGUGGGUUGCAAAAGAAGUAGGUAGCUUAACCUUCGGGAGGGCGCUUACCACUUUGUGAUUCAUGACUGGGGUGAAGUCGUAACAAGGUAACC
rnacentral:rRNA from 1 species